rnacentral:rRNA from 1 species
GACAGAGGUCUCGAGCGUUAGGCGGAAUCACUGGGCUUAAAGCGUGUGUAGGUGGAUGCCUAAGUACCUUGUGAAAUCCCACGGCUUAACCGUGGAAUUGCUUGGUAUACUGGGUGUCUUGAGCCACUUAGGGGCAACCGGAACAAAUGGUGGAGCGGUGAAAUGCGUAGAUAUCAUUUGGAACGCCAAUGGUGAAAACAGGUUGCUGGGAGUGUGCUGACACUGAGACACGAAAGCCAGGGGAGCAAACGGG